rnacentral:tRNA from 1 species
GCCCCGGUGGCGAAAUGGUAGACGCAAGGCACUUAAAAUGCCUCGUUCUUUGAACGUGUCGGUUCGAGUCCGACCCGGGGUACCA